ensembl:lncRNA
GCUGUCCUCAGACUAUGUGGGGAUACACUAUGAGAAUGGGAAGCCCGUCCUUUGGAGGGAGGGGCUUAACAACUGCCGUUUUCAGGGAGUUUGGAAAUGUCCCAGAAAGAAGUGAGGCGUUCUGCUUCUACUACUAAGAGAUCUGCUUCUAAACAUGGCAUGUUUGAUGAUGGAGUCCAUGUGUACACAAUUGAGCCACUUAAACAGAAUCAUUCUAUUGAGGGAACAGCAAGACCACAUGUGUUACGCAGGGUGACUUUCCUGCAGCAAACCACACAUGCAGGAGAGGAAGGCAUGGAAGAGGAUGUGUCUUGGCUUCGACGGAGGAAAAAGCAAGCUGUAAGAGUUUGACUGAGACACAGCUGAAGCUGGAUACAGGCCACAAAGAGAUACACUGCAGAGCAGAACAAGAGCAACGUCAAUGACACUCUAUGCAAACCAGAACACAUCCCAUAAUAUCAGACAGCUUGACUCAAGCUUGUGCAGUAGCAGCAGCAAUACUGUAGUACCGACAUGUUUAGUAGGCAGCUCAAAGGUUACAUCCCAAUUUGCAUACUAUAUACUACAUUGUAGUAAUGUGUUCUAAACAUUAGUAAAUUAAAAACAGCAUGAUGGAUUUUGGAAAUAUGCAUCCAUUUAUGCUUUAUGAGUAAAUGAUUCACACAAACCGUGGCAUUCCUGAGGAGGAGGAGUUCAUGACUCAAGGUUUCAGUGUUAGAAAAAUGCAGUUAUUUUAAGUUAUUUUAAACGCAUGAAUGUAAAACAUUAAGUAAUCAUGGAUUAAUUAGGUCAUUUAUUACGUUUAUUACAAAUAUUUGAUGCAGUUUUAUGAAUCAUUUUCCAAAAUAACACUAAUGUUGAAAAAGUUUAGAUUCACAUA